rnacentral:miRNA from 1 species
GGUCCCUGGGUGGUCUUGGGAAUCCCGGACGAGCCCCCAAAUGUUAUGCCCAGAUUUCAGGAUCCCCAAAAAACCACAUCAGGGA